GACAUUCUGCGUUCAAUGUACUCUUGUAUCCGAUCAAAAAACGUGAUCAAUAGGACACCCUCGACAACCUCCGUGAUCAUAUCGCCUUUAGUUAGAGCGAAAUCUUGCUCCAUUAAAGCGUUCUGCGCCGGCACCGGCGAGGCCCCUAAUAGUGCUAAUUUAUACGACGCUCUAGGUACCUCCGAUCCCUGAACCUUUUGUCCAUUCCCAU
rnacentral:lncRNA from 1 species